CAAUAGCGUAUAUUAAAGUUGUUGCGGUUAAAAAGCUCGUAGUUGGAUUUCUGCUGAGGACGAUCGGUCCGCCCUCUGGGUGAGUAUCUGGCUCGGCCUUGGCAUCUUCUUGGAGAACGUUACUGCACUUGACUGUGUGGUGCGGUAUCCAGGACUUUUACUUUGAGGAAAUUAGAGUGUUUCAAGCAGGCGCACGCCUUGAAUACAUUAGCAUGGAAUAAUAAGAUAGGACCUUGGUUCUAUUUUGUUGGUUUCUAGAGCUGAGGUAAUGAUUAAUAGGGAUAGUUGGGGGCAUUCGUAUUUAACUGUCAGAGGUGAAAUUCUUGGAUUUGUUAAAGGCGGACUACUGCGAAAGCAUUUGCCAAGGAUGUUUUCAUUGA
rnacentral:rRNA from 1 species